GAGGAGGGUCUCUGCCCGGCCACCCAUCGUCUGAGAUGUGAGGAGCCCCUCUGCCCCGCUGCCCAGUCUGGGAAGUGAGGACCGCCUCUUCCCGGCCGCCAUCCCAUCUAGGAAGUGACGCGCGCCUCUGCCCCACCACCCCGUCUGGGAUGUGAGGAGCGCCUCUGCCCGGUCGCGACCCCGUCUGGGAGGUGAGGAGCCCCUCCGCCCGGCAGCCACCCCGUCUGGGAGGUGGGGAGCGUCUCCGCCCAGCAGCCGCCCUGUCCAGGAGGGAGGUGGGGAGUCAGCCCCCGCCCAGCCGGCUACCCCGUCCGGGAGGUGGGGGGCGCCUCUGCCCGGCCGCCCCUUCUGGGAAGUGAGGGGCCCCUCUGCCCGGCCGCCACCCCGUCUGGGAGCUCAUAGUCUGGCAACCAUACUUCCCACUGAUCGCCAGCAAAGGACGGACCCUGCAGCCAGCAUGCAAAGGGUUGCAAAGCAAGGCACGCCUCCGGGUGUGUGGCACGUUCUUUUGAACCCAGUGAACCAUCUUGUUGGUAAGGACUGAGGUUUUCCCCUAGAUUACUAAGCAGUUUUGAAAGCCAUUCUUUUAUGAAUGACACAGAUCAGCCCCCAAAAUAGUUGGAGGGUUCUUUUCCUCUUUGCUUCAGUUCACUAGCUUCCAAGAAUGUGGACACCAUUUCAAAGCUUUAGUGGUGGCCACCUACCUGCAGAAAACAGUAGUCCUUUUCCAUCUCUCAUGACUUGAGGCAUGUGCUGCACUCACCAGGAGUUGAACACAAUUGCAACUAUCAGAGCUCACAGCAAAAAUGAUGACGUGAUCUGAGGCAACACUAGAAAUUCAAUAGCUUCAGCGAAGUCAUCAAUUCAGCCAAUGCAGCCCUUGCCCGUACAGUUAGACAAAGACAUCAUCUGGAAUUUCAUCCCCAUUUCCUCUGCAAAGAAGUUUUGGCAGACACAAAAAUACGCUAAUUUUCAUGAGCCUAUCUUUAAUGAGGACUUUUUAAAAUCUUUUCAAGUUACAGGAUUAUUUAAUAUAAAAUUUUCACAGCUUUUGUGGAUUUCGAUAAUGUGUUCCAGUUCCAUUCCAUCUCAUGUGUGGAAGAAAAGUGAUGUUUCCAAAAUAAAUGAAUACACUUCACCAUUUAAAUUUUUUUGAAUUUUUUUUUUAAAUUUUAUAUUCAGGGGAUGCAUGUGCAGAUUUGUUACACAGAUAUAUCAUGUAAUGCUGAAGUUUGAGCUUCUGGUGAACCCAUCACCCAAAUAGUGAAUACAGUACUCAAUAGGUGGUGUUUCCACCCUUCCCCCUCCUCCUCCCUCCUUUUAGGGUAUCUGAUGUCUACUGUUCCGAUUUUUAUGUGCAUGUGUACCCAUUGUUUUGCUCCCGCUUAUAAGUGAGAACAUAUGAUAUUAACUUUCUGUUUCUGCAUUAAUUUACUUAGGAUAAUGGCCUCCAGCUGCAUCCAAGUUGCUGCAAAGGACAUGAUUUCAUUCUUGUUUAUGGCUGCAUAGUAUUCCAUGCUUUAUCUAAUCCACUGUUGAUGGGCACUUGUGUUGAUUCCAUGACCUUGCUAUUGACGUCACCAUUUUUAAAAUAAGACUUUUAUGACUAAGGCUAACUGGCACCACUGCUCAGCUUUUAAAAAUAUAUCCAAUAUUCCUCUUACUCUUCACAAUAUACAUUCAUGUCCACAUGAAUCACUCAUGAAAUCGCUGGUUAUUCCUUACGAAUCGAUUUGGUUUUCUUCCAAAUUGACCCAGGAAUUCUGAAAUUUGGCAGGCCUGCAAAGUGAGGAAGAUGUUACAAUAAUGUACUGUUGGACACUGGAUGCUAAGGUUACUCCAGGUGUCCAACCACGUAUGCAAGAUUUUUUAUCAUUUCAUGUCAAUAGUAUCAAUAAUAUAAAAAUAAGUGGUUGAUUUUAAAAAAAUACACACACAAGUUGUCUAAAGUUUGACAUUUUCCUCUGCCUUCCUGAAAAUAGACACUUUUCAACAUCAUUUAUACCUUAUUUAAGGUAUCGCAUUUGUUGCCCAUGCAGUGUUCGAGAGACCUCAUUCAAAAGAUCUCGUGUUUACCUACCCAUGCUGAGGACCACAAGGUUGAACAGUAACAAUAAAGUCCACUGUGUCCUGUAAUUAAUAUCUCACUUCACUCUGUUUCUUCUCAACUAUGAGUAAAAGAAUUUUAUUCCCCUUCCUUCACAACAAAAAUGUUCUGCAAUUAUAGUUUUCUCUCUUGCUUGUCAAAGAGCUAAACAGGCCAAUCUCACUGGCUUUUUGUAAUUGUCCAAUUUAUUUUAUUUUAUUUUUAAAUUGAGAUAUAAUUAAUAUAUCAUUUAUUAAAAAUCUAUAGUUCAUUUUAAUUUCUAAAGCAAUGUUGUAACUGAAAUAAAUUUAAUAUAUGCUAUUAAGUGUCAUCAUCAUUAGACUGAUACAUUUUAUAGUAUUUUGCUAAGAUUAAGCCUCUUUUGACUACAAUUCCAUUUCCCCACUUAUGCAUCUUCACAGUGGGUUUUUUAAAGCAACAACACAGGCCCACAGUGGUCCACACCUAUAAUCCCAGCACAUUGGGAGGCUGAGACGGGAGGAUCGCUUGAGUUGGAGACCAGCCUGGCAAUAUAGCAAGACUCCUUCUCUAUUAAAAUAAAAAAAAAAAAUUAGCUGGGCAUGGUGGUGGACACCUACAGUCCCAGCCACUCGGGAGGCUGAGGUCAGAGGAUCACCUGAGCCAGGCAGCCACAGCAAGCUAUGAUCACACUGCUGCACUCCAGCGUGGGCAACAGAGCGAAACCUUGUCUUGAAAAAAAAUAAAAUAAAAUAAAAUAAAAUAUUCCCC
rnacentral:lncRNA from 1 species